GGCCUGUCCGAGUGCCAUGGGGUUUACAACUAAUUGAUUACAACCAGUUAUAGAUUCCUUUGUUCCUUCUCUACUCCCACUGUUUCACUUGACUAGUCUUAA
rnacentral:Y_RNA from 1 species